rnacentral:rRNA from 1 species
AACGAACGCUGGCGGCAGGCCUAACACAUGCAAGUCGAGCGGGGGAGCAAUCCCUAGCGGCGGACGGGUUAGUAACGCGUGGGAACGUGCCCAAAGGUACGGAAUAGCCUCGGGAAACUGAGAGUAAUACCGUAUGUGCCCUUCGGGGGGAAGAUUUAUCGCCUUUGGAUCGGCCCGCGUUGGAUUAGGUAGGUGGUGGGGUAAUGGCCUACCAAGCCGACGAUCCAUAGCUGGUUUGAGAGGAUGAUCAGCAACACUGGGACUGAGACACGGCCCAGACUCCUACGGGAGGCAGCAGUGGGGAAUCUUAGACAAUGGGGGAAACCCUGAUCUAGCCAUGCCGCGUGAGCGAUGAAGGCCUUAGGGUUGUAAAGCUCUUUCAGCUGGGAAGAUAAUGACGGUACCAGCAGAAGAAGCCCCGGCUAACUCCGUGCCAGCAGCCGCCGUAACAC